rnacentral:rRNA from 1 species
UCGAGAAUCUUUCGCAAUGGGCGAAAGCCUGACGAAGCGACGCCGUGUGUGUGAUGAAGGCCUUCGGGUUGUAAAACACUUUCGCCUGGGAACAAGAGAGGUUGGCUAGUAUCCAGCCGAUUUGAGGGUACUAGGUAAAGAAGCGCCGGCUAACUCCGUGCCAGCAGCUGCGGUAAUACGGAGGGUGCAAGCAUUAAUCGGAUUUAUUGGGCGUGAAGAGCGCGUAGGCGGGAAAGAAAGUUAGAUGUGAAAGCUCGAGGCUCAACCUCGAAAACGCAUCUAAAACUCCUUUUCUAGAGGAUGGAUGGAGAAAAUGGAAUUCCACGUGUAGCGGUGAAAUGCGUUGAUAUGUGGAAGACACCGGUGGCGAAGGCGAUUUCUAAUUUAUCCUGACGCUGUGGCGCGAAAGCAAGGGGAGCAAACAGGAUUAGAUACCCUGGUAGUCCUUGCGGUAAACGAUGUAUACUUGAUGUAG